AUAAACUUCAGCAAUAGCAAGCGAGACAGAGAGGGAGAGGGAGAGAGUCGAGAACAACUCUUAUCAAUUGGGAGUUGGGUUUGCCUAGCUUAAAGGGAAUUGCUUCAGGAUUGUAUAUCCUUUUGUUGUCAGUGUCAGAGAGAUAAUAUACACCAUAUAUGCUUUAGCACACACAUCUUAAUUUCAAUUUUGACGCCCACAUUUAUUAGUAUAAUUUUGACACCUACAACUUUUAAGUGUAUAUAUUGAUAUACAGACGUAUUUAAGUUUUUUAUCAGAUGGCAAUGGAUGGAAGUUUCAGUCUUGAAUCUGCAGUCAAGAGGUUCCUUUCACGAUGCCCAGAGCUUGCUAGAACUCGGAAGCUCAGUGAUCUUGAAAAGAAGGGACACAUGGUGACAGAAGAAGAAGUUAUAAAUUCAGUAGCAGAACUAUUUGUGAACCCAAAUUAU
rnacentral:misc_RNA from 1 species